rnacentral:rRNA from 1 species
UACGGAGGGUGCAAGCGUUAAUCGGAAUUACUGGGCGUAAAGCGCACGCAGGUGGCUGAGUCAGUCGAUUGUGAAAGCCCUGGGCUUAACCUGGGAAUUGCAGUCGAUACUACUCAGCUAGAGUAUGGGAGAGGGUAGUGGAAUUCCCGGUGUAGCGGUGAAAUGCGCAGAUAUCAGGAGGAACACCAGUGGCGAAGGCGCCGCUCUGGGCCGAGACUGACGCUGAGGAGCGAAAGCGUGGGUAGCAAACAGG